rnacentral:rRNA from 1 species
GACAGAGGGUGCAAACGUUGUUCGGAAUUACUGGGCGUAAGGCGCGUGUAGGCGGCCCUGCAAGUCGGAUGUGAAAUCCCACGGCUCAACCGUGGAAGUGCAUUCGAAACUGCAGGGCUAGAGUCCUGGAGAGGAAGGUGGAAUGCUUGGUGUAGAGGUGAAAUUCGUAGAUAUCAAGCGGAACACCGGUGGCGAAGGCGGCCUUCUGGACAGUGACUGACGCUGAGACGCGAAAGCGUGGGGAGCAAACAGG